rnacentral:lncRNA from 1 species
UUAGUGGGGCCAAUUCAUGAGGUCCCAGGUUCAAGUCCCAGCGAAGACAAAAAUACUAGGUGAUUGCUUUCCAUCUGUCCAAGCCAUGGUGGGUAGAGUUACCCAGUAUCUGUGUUGGUUGGAGGUAGCAGGUACCUAGUGGAAUUAGUCAAGGUACAAACAAUUGGCCAAAAUACCACCAUAUUAAAAAAAUUAGACUACUUAGUACUGCAUUGAGCAGAAAUCAGGCAUGGACCCCUAUCCAUAAAUUAAAAUCCAAAAGGCAUAUACAUAUGGAGGGGGACAUGGUGCCUUACCUCUUCAAAACUAAGUAAUGAUUGAGUGUACUCUACCCUUUACAAUUUUGUGCAGACCUAGUCUAGUUAUCUUGACUUAGUCUAUGAAAGAUUAGAAAAAUACUAGGCUUAGGAGGACUCCUCCUAAUUACAUGUGAUUACUUUAUAUGUUACUUUCUUUAGGCCAUAAAGGGUUUCUUUUCUCAAUAUUAGAGUUGUCUCUUCUUCCUGAUUCCCAAGAUAAAUUGGUAAGGGACACCCAAGAGACAAAAGUAUUUCAUUUUAUCUGAAAAGGAGAGGAGGAUCAAAUUCGUCUAACUCAAUUUGUUGACGGCAGAUGUUAGAAAUCAUCUUGAGUAAUGAUUCUUAUUACUAUUGUUUGAAAUAUGAUAUGGUUGUGUAAUAACGUAUGUUCUCCCUUAACUGCAUAGGAACUGUGUAGAAGUAUUUUUCAUGCUUAAAGAACUUUUAAAAAUUUCUUUGUUACCUAUUGUGUAACUUGUUUCUAUUUCGGACAUUUUGUGUGUUGAAAGAAAUCAAGAGAAUACUGUUUCUGAGAGUGCCUGAAACACACAAGGGAUUGCUAAUGCUGGAGGUUGAUCGAGUAGCACAGGUAAGGAAGAAAUUUUGCUUAUACUUAUUCCAGCAUAUUCCUUCCAUCCUAGUAGAGUAGCACUUGAAGAAUGCAUAUUUUCUGUUUCUUCACCAGCCUUCAAGAUUUUUAAUGAGGUUCCAUUUUCAUUUGUGAAAGUUCCUUGGGUAUUUUUCAUUUUUCUGUUCUUUCUGUUAACUUGAUGUAGAUUCUCUUUUUCUUCUUUUUGGGAGGGUGAGGUUGGGAUAAGGAGGGAGUGUAACUUCAAGGCUUUUAUCCUUUCUUCACUUGUUAAGUUUGGACCACCUUGAUGCCUGUUAGUAUAUUAUUUUUUUACUUAUAAAAGAGAGAUGGCACCCUUUUAAUUGUACUAUAUGUGAGUACGGUAUUGUGUGGAAGAAAACAAAGAACAAAGGGCUUCUUUUUUAAUGUUACCGCUAGUUAUGCAAGUAUGUACCAUAUCAAUCUAUACCUAUCCCACACUAUUCCUUGUAUCUAUUCACAUUUAUUUGUUUUUCUCUCUCAUUCUCAAUAGAAAAUCAACUGCUAUUAUGUUUUAGUGUGUCCCAGUCAAAUAUUUUUCUUUGCUGAGAUCAUUGUACUUUUAAAGCAUCAUAAUCCAAGAUUUUGGCUGGACAUCCUUGACCCUAAUCUCUCUCUGGAAUUAGGACUACAAAGUUCAUCGUGAUGAAAUACAUUCGAAGUUGGUACAGAUAAUGCGAGAAAGAUUGCUGGUACACCUUCGGAGUUUGCCACAGAUUGUUGAAAGUUUGAAUAGGCAGGAAGAUACUGACUCACAGCCAAGCCAGUUUGCUCGUUCAAUCACAAAGGUAGAAGUUUGUUUGUUAUAGGUCUCACUGCUUUUUUACCCCAGUUUCCCCAUUUUCCCAACUUUUUUUAAAUUAAGAAAUGUUGUCAAUUGUGAAAGAGAAAGUUAGGGUGGGCUUACUCAUUUUUUAUCAUUUCUCAAUGAUUUCGCAUUUGCUUUUUGCAAAUACAAGAUAUAUAAGUUUUCAUCAUUUUAGAGAUGUUUUUGAAAUCAAUAGAAAUUAAAGGUUUUGCGCGUAUCUCUGUGUAUUGCAGUAAUUUCGAUCCUUCUGGUCUCUUGGUGGAAAUUGAUGACAUGAUCUUUUAUAUUCCUGAGGCAUUUUAAUACACACUGCCUAAAAAAUUGGAUUGCUCACAAUAUGAUAAUCAUAGAUCUCUAUUCUCUUACUCCAUAGCUGACAUGGUCAUGUUUUUCCUUUCCUUUUUUAUGCCAAUUUGUAGGAGAUGGGUACACCAUCAAAGCUCUUUCAAUCUUUUUCAAAUUGACUCAAAAUUAUUUUUGCGCAUGAUGAUUUCAUUUCAAUAAUCAACUGCUACUCCUUUCAAAAGAUGUUUUCUUGCAAUAAAAAAAGGCUAUUAUCUUGCCAUUUCACCACAUUGAUUAUUGACUUCUGAUUGUUGUUGUAUCCCACUUGAAGGAUCUGGGGUGUAUGUUAGUGAGCACAUAUUUCUGGUCUGCGACUUGUUUUUGGUGGUUUUUAAGAUCACAAAUAUGCCAGAAAAAGUAUUAUAUUGAUGUUUUAUUUUUUCAGAUAUUCUUCUGAAUCAUUAUCAACCAAUAGAAGCUUUCAGCUUUUCUAUAGUUUGCCUGUAACUUGGACUAAACAUUUUCUAGUUUCUAUCUUGUAUAUGCAGUAUUGGUGUCGUUAAUUAGAGAAAAAAUUGCAGGUGUCAGGUUUGAAGUCUAUUACUUCUAAGCACUUGGCUUUGACAAGCCAAGUCAUCGGUUUCACAUACACUAUAAUUCCAGGUAGGCAAUGAUGACGAAGCUUUUCACUGGUGGUUCUUAUAUUGUUUCUGGCUUUUGUCUAGUUCCUUGUCUAAUAUUGUAUUCAUUGUUGAUCUUUGGUUUAAGAUAUAUCAAUGUGCUCAGACAUUGUUCCAAUGGAAAUAACAUGUCAUUACCAUUUGUGUAAAGUUUCUACCUGAAUGGUGGUUGGAAUUUAAAGGGGAAAGUAUGCUGUUUAUUUACAUUGUAUCUUUCUACCUCUGUCAGUGUAUAGUUGAAAUCAUUAACAGUGGGAAGUCCAUUGUCCAUCAUACUAAAAAUCAUGUAUUGACAUCUUUCUACUUGAGUGUCUGAAUAAGUAUUCUGAGGAAACCAACCAUUCAGGUUUUCGGUAGAGUUAAUCUAUUUUCAUCAGUGAAUGCAUCCUGCCUUGGGUGUUUUUGCAUUACUCAUGAUCACCUCUGUCAGUUGGUAAUUCUGAAAGCAGCAAGUUCCAUCAAAUCUUAAUAGUUGUAUAAUUCCUUAUUCUUAUUGAGAACUCCUGGUUUACCACAAUCAUGUCAAAAAUUGUUGAUUUCCGACUUGAACCUGUGUCUUUAAUUGCAGAAUCUUACCUAUCUCAUCAGCCAUUUUAUUUUCCCUUCAUCUCUCUGUCCCAUAUGCAUAGUGAUUACAAACCUGAAACUCUGUUGACCAUGCUCAUUUUCUCCAGUUAUUCAGCCUUUCUUCAUUAGACUAUUAAGUGCUACAUCUCUUUUUUCACCCUUUUUUCAUUAGGCUCUUUAGUGCUACAUAUAAUUUUCUCAUUCUUUCUAAUUAGAUUACUUACUUAGUGGGGCCAAUUCAUGAGGUCCCAGGUUCAAGUCCCAGCGAAGACAAAAAUACUAGGUGAUUGCUUUCCAUCUGUCCAAGCCAUGGUGGGUAGAGUUACCCAGUAUCUGUGUUGGUUGGAGGUAGCAGGUACCUAGUGGAAUUAGUCAAGGUACAAACAAUUGGCCAAAAUACCACCAUAUUAAAAAAAUUAGACUACUUAGUACUGCAUUGAGCAGAAAUCAGGCAUGGACCCCUAUCCAUAAAUUAAAAUCCAAAAGGCAUAUACAUAUGGAGGGGGACAUGGUGCCUUACCUCUUCAAAACUAAGUAAUGAUUGAGUGUACUCUACCCUUUACAAUUUUGUGCAGACCUAGUCUAGUUAUCUUGACUUAGUCUAU